rnacentral:rRNA from 1 species
UACGGUGGGUGCAAGCGUUAAUCGGAAUUACUGGGCGUAAAGCGUGCGCAGGCGGUUCGGAAAGAAAGAUGUGAAAUCCCAGAGCUUAACUUUGGAACUGCAUUUUUAACUACCGGGCUAGAGUGUGUCAGAGGGAGGUGGAAUUCCGCGUGUAGCAGUGAAAUGCGUAGAUAUGCGGAGGAACACCGAUGGCGAAGGCAGCCUCCUGGGAUAACACUGACGCUCAUGCACGAAAGCGUGGGGAGCAAACAGGAUUAGAAACCCCAGGUAGUCCACGCCCCAAACGAUGUCAACUAGCUGUUGGGGCCUUCGGGCCUUGGUAGCGCAGCUAACGCGUGAAGUUGACCGCCUGGGGAGUACGGUCGCAAGAUUAAAACUCAAAGGAAUUGACGGGGACCCGCACAAGCGGUGGAUGAUGUGGAUUAAUUCGAUGCAACGCGAAAAACCUUACCUACCCUUGACAUGUCUGGAAUGCCGAAGAGAUUUGGCAGUGCUCGCAAGAGAACCGGAACACAGGUGCUGCAUGGCUGUCGUCAGCUCGUGUCGUGAGAUGUUGGGUUAAGUCCCGCAACGAGCGCAACCCUUGUCAUUAGUUGCUACGAAAGGGCACUCUAAUGAGACUGCCGGUGACAAACCGGAGGAAGGUGGGGAUGACGUCAAGUCCUCAUGGCCCUUAUGGGUAGGGCUUCACACGUCAUACAAUGGUCGGGACAGAGGGUCGCCAACCCGCGAGGGGGAGCCAAUCCCAGAAACCCGAUCGUAGUCCGGAUCGCAGUCUGCAACUCGACCGCGUGAAGUCGGAAUCGCUAGUAAUCGCGGAUCAGCAUGUCGCGGUGAAUACGUUCCCGGGUCUUGUACACACCGCCCGUC